UUAUGCUUGGUGCAUAUCAACUGCUAUUUGAACCUUUAUUCUACCUUGAUUUUUUUGCGUACUCCUGUUUCCUUGGUAGGCUUGCCUGCCAGCUGGACAAAUCUAUAACCCUUUUAAUAUUUAAUCAGCGUCUGAGUAAAUGUAAUAAUUACAACUUUCAACAACGGAUCUCUUGGUUCUGGCAUCGAUGAAGAACGCAGCGAAAUGCGAUAAGUAGUGUGAAUUGCAGAAUUCAGUGAAUCAUCGAAUCUUUGAACGCACAUUGCGCCCCUUGGUAUUCCAUGGGGCAUGCCUGUUCGAGCGUCAUUUGUAAUCUCAAGCUAUGCUUGGUGUUGGGCACUUGUCUCAGUCAAGCCUGCAGACAUGCCUUAAAUACAUUGGCAGCCAGUAUUUUGGUUUGAAAUGUGCAGCACAGCGCCUCAAGCUAUUUAAUACAGGCAACCAUGAAGAUUUAUCACUCUUUUGACCUCGGAUCAGGUAGGGAUACCCGCUGAACUUAAGCAUAUCAAUAAGCGGAGGAAAAGAAACCAACAGGGAUUGCCCCAGUAACGGCGAAGCC
rnacentral:rRNA from 1 species